GCGCUCGUAGCUCAGUUGGAUAGAGCAGCGGACUUCUAAUCCGCAGGUCGCAGGUUCGAGUCCUGCCGGGCGCGCCA
rnacentral:tRNA from 1 species